AGCGUCAAGCUAGUAAGAUCCCUGAAAGAUGAUCAGGUUGAUAGGUCAGAGGUGGAAGCGUGGCGACAUGUGGAGCUGACUGAUACUAAUCGAUCGAGGACUUAACCAA
rnacentral:ncRNA from 2 species